rnacentral:rRNA from 1 species
AUUGAACGCUGGCGGCAUGCUUUACACAUGCAAGUCGAACGGUAACAGGGUGCUUGCACCGCUGACGAGUGGCGAACGGGUGAGUAAUGCGUCGGAACGUGCCGAGUAGUGGGGGAUAACGCAGCGAAAGUUGUGCUAAUACCGCAUACGUACUGAGGUAGAAAGUGGGGGACCUUCGGGCCUCACGCUAUUCGAGCGGCCGACGUCUGAUUAGCUAGUAGGUGAGGUAAAGGCUCACCUAGGCGACGAUCAGUAGCGGGUCUGAGAGGAUGAUCCGCCACACUGGGACUGAGACACGGCCCAGACUCCUACGGGAGGCAGCAGUGGGGAAUUUUGGACAAUGGGCGAAAGCCUGACGCAGCGACGCCGCGUGGAGGAUGAAGGUCUUCGGAUUGUAAACUUCUGUUAAGCGGGAAGAAAGUUCUGCUUCUAAUACAAGCAGGUUAUGACGGUACCGCUAAAGAAAGCACCGGCUAACUUCGUGCCAGCAGCCGCCGUAA